GAUGAAUGCUAGCUACAGGCUUAACACAUGCAAGUCGAGGGGAAACGAUGAGAGAGCUUGCUCUCUUAGUCGUCGACCGGCGCACGGGUGAGUAACGCGUAUCCAACCUGCCUCUGACCAAGGGAUAACCCGUCGAAAGUCGGACUAAUACCUUAUGCAGUCGUCGGAAGUCAUCUGAUGACGACGAAAGAUUUCAUCGGUGAGAGAUGGGGAUGCGUCUGAUUAGCUUGUUGGCGGGGUAACGGCCCACCAAGGCGACGAUCAGUAGGGGUUCUGAGAGGAAGGUCCCCCACAUUGGAACUGAGACACGGUCCAAACUCCUACGGGAGGCAGCAGUGAGGAAUAUUGGGCAAUGGGCGUAAGCCUGAACCAGCCAAGUAGCGUGCAGGAUGACGGCCCUAUGGGUUGUAAACUGCUUUUAGGCGGGGAUAAAGUGAGGGACGUGUCCUUCAUUGCAGGUACCGCAUGAAUAAGGACCGGCUAAUUCCGUG
rnacentral:rRNA from 1 species